UACGGAGGGAGCAAGCGUUAAUCGGAAUUACUGGGCGUAAAGCGCACGCAGGCGGCUUGUUAAGUCAUAUGUGAAAUCCCCGGGCUCAACCUGGGAACUGCAGAUGAUACUGGCAAGCUUGAGUCUCGUAGAGGCGGGUAGAAUUCCAGGUGUAGCGGUAAAAUUCGUAGAGAUCUGGAGGAAUACCGGUGGCGAAGGCGGCCCCCUGGACGAAGACUGACGCUCAGGUGCGAAAGCGUGGGUAGCAAACAGG
rnacentral:rRNA from 1 species